GUGAAUCAUCAAAUCUUUGAACGCAAAUUGCACUCUCUUCGGAGAGUAUGCCUGUUUGAGGGUCAGCCUAAAAAAAAUCGACAUCGUUGCUGUUUCGCGGUGGCGUUCGUCGGAAAUUGGGUUAUCUUAAAUCUUUGGUUUAAGCGACUUAAAAUUUUCUUUACGUUUCCUUGACGGUUUCCAAGUUUUAUUUCUUUACCCGUUUAAGGUAUGGAUUUUAUUAGGCUUGUUCGUAAU
rnacentral:misc_RNA from 1 species